GAUUUAUUAAAUUAACUACUAAAGAUGGAAACACGUGUACUUUGUUUUUUUUAUCUACUGCAAUAAUAUUGCAUUACAAGGCCAAAGGGGCAUCAAAUAACAACAUACUCGAGAUCUCAUUUGGCGUGUUACAUAACCAGUCACUUGGGAGAGAAUCUCGAAACUUUAAUCCAGAUACAGUAUGAGCCACCGAAUUUACACUUCUGCUCACUAAAGAGAAGUCAAUAUUCUCAAAGGAAGAUAGGAGAGUCUGAAUAGUUUUAACAAUUGCAUGGAUCUCCCAAAACACAACCUUCUGUGGAUUUCGGAUGGCAGUAUAGAGGUUUGCGCAAUCAGUUUCAACUAUAAUUGAAAUAAAGCCUCUCGACAAAGCAAAAUGAAUAGCAGUCGUCAAUGCUUGAGCCUCACUUGACAGGGGAGAGGCACAACAAAACUUCCCAGAUAUUCCAUCUAUCAACUUACCUCUAGAAUCCCGAACGACUACAGCAAUUGCUGACAAAUAGGAAUUUUCCUUCCAAGCUGCAUCACAGUUAAUUUUGAGUUUUCCAACAGGAGGGAGAGUCCAUCUAUCUGAAACUAAAGCUCUGUGAGGCGAGAGAUACUGAGAAGAAAUUGAUUGCACCUGUAAAGAUUCCGUUAUACUCCUAUGAAGAUGAUGAGAUGUGGCCAGUGGAUUAGGCUCCACUCCUUCAAAAACAGCUCUGUUCCUCUCCUUCCACACCUGCCAUAAUACCACAACAAUAGAGAUCAUUAAGUCUUGAAAGCCUGGUUCCUCCCCGAAUUCAGACCAUAAGGAAUCCCACCAAGCAGCAAAAGACCAAAAACCUGUUGGGUUAGGUUUGUAAGAACAAGGACUUGCAAACCAGACCGCUCUAGCAUGUCCACACCAAAGCAUUGAUUACAUAUUGAACAGGUGGCAUUAACUUUGAUGCCCCUUCUGGCUAAGUUCUCCUUAACUGGCAAAAUAUUGUGAAUUGCUUUCCAUAAGAAAUUUUGUAACUUUGGUUGAAUUGGUAACUUCCAGGUCUUGUGCCGCAGGUUUGGAGAUAUCUGGCGAGAAUGAGAUGGUUCUACAAAAUUAGACAAUUGAAUCUCUUAGUUAACUAGUACUUUGUAACCCGAUCGAACAGUAUACCUCCCAGAAUUCUCAUAGUGCCAUACCAGAUAAUCCUCAUUGCCACGGGGAGCAAUGGGAAUGGACAAGAUAGUCUUUGCAGUUGAGGGAUUGAAUAAUUGGCACACUAGCCCGACAUUCCAAGCCAAACUAUCCUGGUGCAUCAAAUCAGAGACAAUGUUGAUAUGAGGGGGACACUGAGAAGGUCUUGUUACUUUAAAAUUAUGACAAGGAAUCCAUGGGUCUGACCAAAUUAAUGUAGAUGAACCAUCUCCAAUAUUCACUCUCACUCCAUGCCUCAGAACCUCUCGACCAGCCAACAGACCCUGCCAAAUCCAAGAGCUCCGACGACCAUGUGAUGCAUUCCGGAAUGAAGAAUUUGGGAAAUAUAAACCUUUAAUGAUUCUGCUCCACAAACUAUUAGGAUCUGUAAUGAGUCUCCAGCUUUGUUCCGCCAAGCAAGACAAAUUGAAUUUCUCCAAAUCCUUGAAUCCCAUGCCACCUCUGAAUUUUGAUCGGCAAGCCUUGUUCCAACUAAGCCAAGCCAACUUCCUUUCAUUAUCUUUUUGACCCCACCAAAAUCUGGAUAUAAUACUAUUCAUUUGUUCACAGAAACACUUAGGAUAAUGAAAAAUUGCCAUUGAAUAUGUGGGAAUGGCACUGAGAACGGCUGUUAUUAAGACUUCCCGAACCGCUUGGGAUAACAACUUCUGCUUCCAUGCUUGGGUCCUGGCUAGGAUCUUUUCCUUCACACAAUUUAGAGCUUGCGACUUCGACCUGCCCCACAUUGCCGGAAGACCAAGGUACUUAUCUGAUUGAGUCAUGUCAUUCAUCCCAAAAAGAUUAAGGAUAUGCUCAUUGAGACGUGGAGGCGUGUACUUGCUGAAUAAGAUGUGAGAUUUAUGAAAAUUGACUCGUUGACCUGUUGCCGCUGCAUAGUCAUGAAUAAUUGAUUGAACAUGGGCAGCCUCUUGCCGUGAAGCUCUUCCAAACAAAAGAGUAUCAUCUGCGAAUAGCACAUUAGUUAUAGUUGGAGUAUGUCUCGACAUUUUAAGCCCUUGAAUCCUCUGAUCUGAUUUUGCUUUUGAGAUGAGGCAUGAAAGAGCUUGAGAAACAAAUAAGAACAUGUAUGAGGAUAAUGGAUCCCCUAGCCGAAGCCCUCUAGAUGGAUUAAAGGUGGGGGGGUUGGGAACUCCAUUAACUACUAUUGAGAAGCUUGCUUUAGUUAUACAUUGCAUUACUAGGUUCACUCAUUCCUCUGCAAAGCCAUAUUGAAGAAGAGAUUUCCUGAGGAAC
rnacentral:misc_RNA from 1 species